rnacentral:rRNA from 1 species
AAGCGGAGGAAAAGAAACCAACCGGGAUUGCCUCAGUAACGGCGAGUGAAGCGGCAAAAGCUCAAAUUUGAAAUCGGUGCGCCGAGUUGUAAAUUGAAGGAGGGGUGCUGGGACGACGCCGGUUUAAGUGCCUUGGAACAGGCCGCCAUGGAGGGUGACAGCCCCGUGAAGCCGGGCCGUCGUGCCGUGCAGCGCUGCUCCGACGAGUCGAGUUGUUUGGGAAUGCAGCUCUAAGUGGGUGGUAAGCUCCAUCUAAAGCUAAAUAUUGGCGAGAGACCGAUAGCGAACAAGUACAGUGAUGGAAAGAUGAAAAGCACUUUGAAAAGAGAGUGAAACAGCACGUGAAAUUGUUGAAAGGGAAGGGCUUGGCCUCAGACGCGGGUGCGCUUCGGUGCGCCCGGGCCAGCAUGGGCUCGUGGGGGGCGACAAUGGCGCGAGAACGUGGCACCGCUUCUGCGGUGUGUUACAGCUCGCGCAGACAGUCCCACCGCGGGCCGAGGCAUGCGCAUUUGCAAGGAUGCUGGCGUAAUGAUGUCAAGCCGCCCGUCUUGA